GGGAAGGUAGCCAAGAUGGUCAAGGCAUCGGUCUGAAAAACCGACUAUAGCAGUUCGAGUCUGCUCCUUCCCACCA
rnacentral:tRNA from 2 species